GACGAACGCUGGCGGCGUGCUUAACACAUGCAAGUCGAACGGUAAGGCCCUUCGGGGUACACGAGUGGCGAACGGGUGAGUAACACGUGGGUGAUCUGCCCUGCACUUCGGGAUAAGCCUGGGAAACUGGGUCUAAUACCGGAUAGGACCACUGCCUGCAUGGGUGGGGGUGGAAGGCUUUUGCGGUGUGGGAUGGGCCCGCGGCCUAUCAGCUUGUUGGUGGGGUGAUGGCCUGCCAAGGCGACGACGGGUAGCCGGCCUGAGAGGGUAACCGGCCACACUGGGAAUGAGAUACGGCCCAGACUCCGACGGGAGGCAGCAGUGGGGAAUAUUGCACAAUGGGCGCAAGCCUGAUGCAGCGACGCCGCGUGAGGGAUGACGGCCUUCGGGUUGUAAACCUCUUUCAGCACCGACGAAGCGCAAGUGACGGUAGGUGCAGAAGAAGGACCGGCCAACUACGUGCCAGCAGCCGCAGUAA
rnacentral:rRNA from 1 species